GGGCUUCAAAACCGGACCGAUCCCCUCUAUAUCUUGGGAGCCGGUCGCGAGGCCGGCUAUGGCGAUAAACGUUCUUCGCAAUAAACCUAUCGGACCCGGGGGCGGUACCCGGCGCCUCCACCCGAGCCC
rnacentral:tmRNA from 1 species